GCAGCCUCCCAAAUCCCCUUUGCGAGGGCCCUCGCGUCUCAGCCACUCUGGCCGGCUGGACAACAAGUGGGCCAGCCUGGCGGGGGGUCACCCUUCAUGCCGGGGAGGGUGUCUUUGUCUCGGGCCUGUGAAUUUAGGGGCGGGAAGAAAGGGUGUCUGGCGAGAAGCUCUCCUCGGCCUCCGCCCUGAGCAUCUUCCCUUCUGCGUGGCAAAAGGAGAGUUUCCUCCUUGGCCGGACGGCGAAAUGAUUAUGGGAGGCCACUGGGAGAACUGGGGUGGUGAGCCAGACCCUGGGCUAUUCUCUGGCGGCUCCGCUCAAGAGCUCCUCCGUUGCCCCGACAAUCGGCCCCGUUGCUUCCAAGGCGCCUGCUUUAACAUAGCUGUGGCUCGCCUGUCCAGAUCAGUCCACCACCACCACCACCACCCCCCGCCCGUGCUCUUCUCCCUCUCUUUCUCUGCCUCCCGCUUGGUCCCCUCACCCCACCCCGAAGAGACCCCGCGCCUCCUUCCCUGUGAUAAGAUGUUAAGAACUUUGUUUUUCAAGGGGCCGAGAUGAAGCGCGGAGCCCGCAGAUCAGGGCAAAGAAGCCCGUGGCCUUUUAAUGAGAACUAAAGGCCGCCCAAACGUAGAUGAAGCGCACCGGCAACGCGGCUUCAAAGUGCAGCCCAGUCCCCUGAGAUCAGCCAGCCCCGAGCCUGGUAAUUGGGGGUUUACUACGCGGAGAGCUUUUGUACAACCUCGAAGUGUUAGGCUGUAACUAGGAGGCGCUGAAAACCCAAGGCGGAAAAUUUACAACUUGAUCAGCUCCAAACCGCACGCGCGCGCACACACAAAAAUGUGCUACUGUUGCAGCCAGAUGUUCCGGAUUAAGUUCAGAAAUGCUUCUUGUGUAGCGGACUUGAAAGCUGAUAAUGAGAAACUGAAAUGCUGCAGAAUUUGGCUCUUGGGUUGCGGUUCCAGUGUCACCUACAGGGAGAGUUCCCUCUUCCGCAGAGGGACCCUCCGCUGCCUCGCCUUGCCUUAUCUCCUCUUGGCUGGAGUACCUACCCUGCCUUGGCUUUGAUUCGCCUCACACACACGCUCAGCCAUUCAAAUCGCCCAGGGAUCUGUUUCAUUAGCAGCAGGCAGGUGAGAGCUAUUCGGAAGAGCAGUGCUUGAAAAACUGACGAAUCUCUUCCUCCUUUGGCAGGGCAAAACUGCCCUAGAAAAAGUGCCGAGCUGGUCUACUGAAUCUUCGAGGGCACCGUCCGCCCCCUUCUUCCCCCACCACGGUACUUUGAGUAGCACAGUUAUCAGACCAGUGGAGCAUAUCAGAAAUAUUUCGGGGAGUCCCAAAUCAAGAUCAGUAUUACUGUGCAAGGAAUCAAAAUGAUCAAGAUUAAUAAAAUGCGGAGAGUGUCACUUUA